AUUGAACGCUAGCGGCAGGCUUAACACAUGCAAGUCGAGGGGUAUAGGUUUUCGGACCUAGAGACCGGCGCACGGGUGCGUAACGCGUAUGCAAUCUACCUUUCACAGAGGGAUAGCCCAGAGAAAUUUGGAUUAAUACCUCAUAGUAUAGCAGUUUCGCAUGAAACCACUAUUAAAGUUCCAACGGUGAAAGAUGAGCAUGCGUCCCAUUAGCUAGAUGGUAAGGUAACGGCUUACCAUGGCUACGAUGGGUAGGGGUCCUGAGAGGGAGAUCCCCCACACUGGUACUGAGACACGGACCAGACUCCUACGCGAGGCAGCAGUGAGGAAUAUUGGUCAAUGGACGCAAGUCUGAACCAGCCAUGCCGCGUGCAGGAUGACGGUCCUAUGGAUUGUAAACUGCUUUUGUACGAGAAGAAACAACAUUACGUGUAAUGUCUUGACGGUAUCGUAAGAAUAAGGAUCGGCUAACUCCGUGCCAGCCGCCGCGGUAACAC
rnacentral:rRNA from 1 species